CUUUUGAUUCACUCACUCUGUUGACCCUCGGCGACAACGCAACUAAAGGGGAAAAUCACAAUUAUAAGCGGUCUUUACCUCAAAGCAUAUUCAGAAAAUGCUGCACAAGUGGACUAUUUGUCUUGCUCUUUUCGCAGCGUGUAUUGAGGCCGUCCCGUUCAGAGGACAAGAGUUUCUGAGCACCGGAGAUGUAAUUGUGGGCACCAAGGAAGAUGCUACGGGACAUUUCAUGGGAUCUCUUUCAGAAGACGGCUUUAAAAAGCGCGAAACGGCCGCUGAAGAAGACGUGAGCAGAGAUAAAAUCAAAACAAUCAACUGGCAGCUUAGUGUGAAAGGUCGCCAAAAAAAGAGACCGCGAAAUCCUCCACCGAAAACAGGCUGAGGCUUAGCCGAUGAGCCGUGUACUUCUAAAAGGAUGACUUGAUUAUUAAGACAUGCAUACUGAUCGGUCCUUUGCAGGGACGAAUCUUAAUCUAACUAAAUGUGCUCACCAUAAUACUGAAAUGAACCAGAACACUGUAAUAACUCUAAACGUACGUACCACCGAAAAUAAAGUUGUCGUUACGGCUCUUACGAGAGAGAAAUAAUUGAUGUAAAAUUAUUAAACCAUGCCCAUUUUUUUUAAACUGAGUUUAAUGACAAGAUCAUCCCUCAAUAUUUUUUUUCUUUUUCUGUUUUGAAGAAUGGAACUAAUUCUUUUGUUCUCAGUUUAUAGGAGAACUUGAAUUGCUAGAAUAAUCUGAGAGCGCUGGACAGGCGAUUGAACUGAACCUUUUGUUAUGUAGAAAUGCCCCAGGCGUCCGCCGCGCGGGGAUUGGAUUUGUAAAAUUUUGGGUUAGAAAAUAAAAAGGAGUUGAGCACAUGGAAUUUUAUGGCGUGCUGUGUCGGUUCGUGUUACAGUAGAUUAUAGGUCCUUUCCCUGCCCGAAAGAAUAUCCGAGGGCCGAAAUCAAACUCUAUUACAAGGAAGUAGAAAUCAUAACUAUAAAAAACGAAUUCAUUGUGAUUGGCUCUCUGGUGAUUGACCCGAUCACCUGGGUUUCCAAUUACAGGAAUCAAAUUAAGACUUUCUGAACACCUUGGACGCUUUCCAUUCAACAUAAACUUUUGGAACUUUCGAAACAGGAGCAAAAGGUACACAAAUGUUCAAGGAACGUUUCCGGAAUAUCCCAAAAGAAUUGUCGAAAAUGCAAAACGAAAUAAAAACCAUUCAACAGAAAAUUUCGAAAUGUGGAAGUAUGGAAGAACACCAAAAAGAUGUGGAAACACUACAAUUUUUAGGACGUCUGCAUCGAAAAGGAAGAGUUUGCCAUGAAAGGAUACAGUGAACUUUGGAAACAAUCUUGCAGAUUCUAAGAAACAUUUAUAUUACGAAAACCGAGAUAAAUUGACCUGCUAUAUCGAGAUUCGGUUAGUUAAGGUAAUUAUUACAAGUAAAUCGAGGAAAAUAAAGAGAACACUUGCAGAGUGCUCACUCACGUGGCCGGCAGCCAUGCAAAUUCAUUGGAACAAAAGAUAGUGUUUACAUAAGAAAAAAACUUUAACUCCCAAAGGAUUGGUUUGGGAUAAGGAUAUGCACGGGUUUUAAGACACCAAAAUGGCUGCCGUGACAUCACGUGAAAACAGUCUAUAAUCCUGAAAAACAUAACAAUCAUGUUUAAUAGUUUACUAGUGUGUCCUAUUCGUGAUCGGUUAAAAUCGUUGAGGGUUCGAUAAAAUCUAAAAUUUGAGUUUUUAUAC
rnacentral:lncRNA from 1 species